CUUCUUUUUUCUUUUUUGUUCUGUCCUUUGGCUUUCUUUGGAUUUUUUGUUUUUAUCAAAAUGCCGAAGAAUAAGGGAAAAGGAGGAAAGAGUAAGCGAAAAGGAAAGAACAAGAACGAUGAAGGAGAUAAGAGAGAACUCAUGGUCAAAGAAGAAGGACAAGAGUAUGCUCAAGUUGUAAAAAUUUUG
rnacentral:ribozyme from 13 species